AUCUGGAUAAGACUGAAUAAGCUCUACUAUGAACUCAAAAUUUCCCAACUCUGCUGCUACAAACAAUGGCCGCGAAGGACUUCUAAAUUAGGUGUUUCGUUUCACAGGUACAGAGAAUAAUAAUCAAGAACUUGGGACCAUGUCAUAUGUGCCAUACCGAUUGCUUUUAGUAGAUGCUGAAUUACCCUUGUGAUGAACAGGUAAGCUGCAAUUCAAAAAAGGUUUAUGAUCAGUUGGUUACAGAAAUGCUAUUACAGAGAAGAUAAAUAUCUCAACUGGAACAAUAUAUACCUACUACAUACCAUUGGUAUUAUUUUUUUCCCUUGAGCCACUGGGCAUGUUGCUUGAUCUAUUCUGCAAAUGAACAGAGACAUCUAUAGGAAGUCCCAUUAAUCUUUUUUUUUAAAAAGAAAAACAGGUACGAAGUUCCAUUAAUCUAGUGAUAUAUAAAUAUAAAUAUGUGAUUCAUUUCGAUUUGGAUAGAUAUGAAGAUACUUACAUGCGUAAACAAGUCUUUGCCAGGUUCCAAAUCCAGUUUUGUCAGAAAAUGCCAAGGGCUUUCGUGCUAAAACAUGGAGUAUCGUGUCUUCAUUUUGAUCUCGUUCAAUGCCUAAUUCAGGCAUUUGCUGAAGUAUAUAUAAAGCAACAUCUGUUAACAGAAUUUGACAGUUCUAGUGGAUUCAUAAGUUUAACCAGUUCUUCGACAAACUGAACCUUGUUAGCCCCAGCAGCAAUGUGAAGAGCAGUGUCCCACCCUUUUGUGAUCCUGGCGGAUGUUGCAUCAGGAUGCAGAGUGAAAAAUUUUCUAGCCUUUUCCCAGUUACCGCCUAAUGCUGCUUGGCAGAGUGGCACAUACAUGGUUCACAUGUUGAUACAAAAACAAAGCAUACAUAUAAAUUAGAAGCAUUGAGAAAUAUAUUUUGCUUAACUUUGCCUAAGAAAGGAAGUGGGAAGCGUCUGAGGAUCAGGAGCGGUAGGCCUAGAGACAGCUUCAUUUUGAAUGGGAGUAGGCAGUACUGUAGCUUCAGGUAAGUGAAUUGCAACAGCAUGCUGUGGACUAGAACUUCUUGUAUUGCUACUGUUGUUUCUCAAAGAAAUCCCGUCUGAUGAUGUUGCAGUGCUUGGUACUGAGUUUCUCUGUGGAAAGCAUGUUGGAAUUGAAAGCAUACGUCCCAGUUGUAGUUUUGGGAUGUUUUCCAUGACAAAUUCUAUAUAUAUGCUUUAAGAACUUGAAGUAGAAAAUUUUAUUGCAUUUAUUUCGUUCUUCACUUUGAAAUUUGGAAUUUGGAAUUGAAGUUGUACACUUCAUCACAAGCCUUGUUCAAGUCUUUUUAAGUGAUGAUGCAGCUCAUGCCAACUGGAAAGUUUCACAGAAACCUCUGUUUGGCAUAUUGUCAGAGUCAGUCAACUGAAGAUUUUCAAAGAAGCUUCUCAUGAUAUAAGUAUAUGGUUUUAAAGAAGCUUAUGGUCCACAGGUUUGUAGACACUGAUAUAACACGGGAAAUUCAUCUACUUAAGUUUGGUUGACAUA